UGGCGUAAACAAAGGGAAGCGAGCCCGUGAGGGGGAGCAAAUCCCAAAAAUAACGUCUCAGUUCGGACUGUAGUCUGCAACUCGACUACACGAAGCUGGAAUCGCUAGUAAUCGCGAAUCAGAAUGUCGCGGUGAAUACGUUCCCGGGUCUUGUACACACCGCCCGUCACACCAUGGGAGUCGGGAAUGCCCGAAGCCGGUGACCUAACCGAAAGGAAGGAGCCGUCGAAGGCAGGUCUGAUAACUGGGGUGAAGUCGUAACAAGGUAUC
rnacentral:rRNA from 1 species